rnacentral:rRNA from 1 species
UACGGGGGGGGCAAGCGUUGUUCGGAAUUACUGGGCGUAAAGGGCGCGUAGGCGGCCUGCUAAGUCGGACGUGAAAUCCCUCGGCUCAACCGGGGAACUGCAUUCGAUACUGCGGUGCUUGAGGACUGGAGAGGAGACUGGAAUUCAUGGUGUAGCAGUGAAAUGCGUAGAGAUCAUGAGGAAGACCAGUGGCGAAGGCGGGUCUCUGGACAGUUCCUGACACUGAAGCACGAAGGCCAGGGGAGCAAACGGG